ACAGACAGCCAGGAUGUUGGCUUAGAAGCAGCCAUCAUUUAAAGAAAGCGUAAUAGCUCACUGGUCGAGUCGGCCUGCGCGGAAGAUGUAACGGGGCUAAACCAUGCACCGAAGCUGCGGCAGCGACGUUUAUGCGUUGUUGGGUAGGGGAGCGUUCUGUAAGCCUGCGAAGGUGGCCUGUGAGGGUUGCUGGAGGUAUCAGAAGUGCGAAUGCUGACAUAAGUAACGAUAAAGCGGGUGAAAAGCCCGCUCGCCGGAAGACCAAGGGUUCCUGUCCAACGUUAAUCGGGGCAGGGUGAGUCGACCCCUAAGGCGAGGCCGAAAGGCGUAGUCGAUGGGAAACGGGUUAAUAUUCCCGUACUUGGUGUUACUGCGAAGGGGGGACGGAGAAGGCUAUGUUGGCCGGGCGACGGUUGUCCCGGUUUAAGCGUGUAGGCUGGUUUUCCAGGCAAAUCCGGAAAAUCAAGGCUGAGGCGUGACGA
rnacentral:rRNA from 1 species